CCUACGGGUGGCAGCAGUGAGGAAUAUUGGUCAAUGGGCGCGAGCCUGAACCAGCCAAGCAGCGUGAAGGAUGACUGCCCUACGGGUUGUAAACUUCUUUUAUAAAGGAAUAAAGUGAGGCACGCGUGCCUUUUUGUAUGUACUUUAUGAAUACGCAUCGGCUAACUCCGUGCCAGCAGCCGCGGUAAUACGGAGGAGACUGGCGUUAUCCGGAUUUAUUGGGGUUAAAGGGAGCGUAGAUGGGUUGUUAAGUCAGUUGUGAAAGUUUGGGGCUCAACCGUAAAAUUGCAAUUGAUACUGGCAGGCUGGAGUACAGGUGGGGUAGGCGGAAUUCGUGGUGUAGCGGUGAAAUGCUGAGAUAUCACGAAGAACACCGAGUGCGAAGGCAGCCUACUAGACUGCCACUGACAUGGAGGCUCGAAAGUGUGGGGAUCAAACAGGAUUAGAUACCCCAGUAGUC
rnacentral:rRNA from 1 species